rnacentral:rRNA from 1 species
CCUACGGGGGACAGCAGUGAGGAAUAUUGGUCAAUGGACGAGAGUCUGAACCAGCCAAGUAGCGUGAAGGAUGACUGCCCUAUGGGUUGUAAACUUCUUUUAUAUGGGAAUAAAACGUUCCACGUGUGGGAUUUUGUAUGUACCAUAUGAAUAAGGAUCGGCUAACUCCGUGCCAGCAGCCGCGGUAAUACGGAGGAUCCGAGCGUUAUCCGGAUUUAUUGGGUUGAAAGGGAGCGUAGGUGGAUUGUUAAGUCAGUUGUGAAAGUUUGCGGCUCAACCGUAAAAUUGCAGUUGAAACUUGCAGUCUUGAGUACAGUAGAGGUGGGCGGAAUUCGUGGUGUAGCGGUGAAAUGCUUAGAUAUCACGAAGAACUCCGAUUGCGAAGGCAGUUCACUGGACUGCAACUGACACUGAGGCUCGAAAGUGUGGGUAUCAAACAGGAUUAGAUACCCCGGUAGUC